rnacentral:rRNA from 1 species
UUCCGGUUGAUCCUGCCGGACCCCACUGCUAUCGGGAUAGGACUAAGACAUGCUAGUCGUGUGCCUCAGCCAAAACGAGGCACGGCGCACAGCUCAGUAACACGUGGCUAACCUGCCCUUAGGACGAGAAUAACCCCGGGAAACUGGGGCUAAUGCUCGAUAGGUGAAGAACUCUGGAAUGAGUCUUCACUUAAAAGAGUCUGCGUUAUGCUCGUAGAUUUCGCUUAAGGAUGGGGCCGCGACCGAUCAGGUUGUUGGUGAGGUAAUGGCUCACCAAGCCUUUUACCGGUGCGGGCCGUGAGAGCGGGAGCCCGGAGAUGGGCACUGAGACAAGGGCCCAGGCCCUACGGGGCGCAGCAGUCGCGAAAACUUUGCAAUACACGAAAGUGUGACAGGGCUGUCCCGAGUGCCAUCCGCUGAGGAAGGCUUUUACCCAGUCUAGAACGCUGGGGGAAUAAGGAGAGGGCAAGUCUGGUGUCAGCCGCCGCGGUAAUACCAGCUCUCCGAGUGGUGUGGAUGUUUAUUGGGCCUAAAGCAUCCGUAGCUGGCUAAGUUAGUCCCCUGUUAAAUCCAACGAAUUAAUCGUUGGAUCGCGGGGGAUACUGCUUGGCUAGGGGACGAGAGAGGCAGACGGUAUUUCCGGGGUAGGGGUGAAAUCCUAUAAUCCCGGGAAGACCACCAGUGGCGAAGGCUGUCUGCUAGAACGCGCCCGACGGUGAGGGAUGAAAGCUGGGGGAGCGAACCGGAUUAGAUGCCCGGGUAGUCCCAGCUGUAAACGAUGCAGGCUAGGUGUUUGGACGGCCACGUGCCGUUCUAGUGCCGCAGGGAAGCUGUUAAGCCUGCCGCCUGGGGAGUACGAUCGCAAGAUUGAAACUUAAAGGAAUUGGCGGGGGAGCACCACAAGGGGUGAAGCUUGCGGUUUAAUUGGAUUCAACGCCGGA